rnacentral:lncRNA from 1 species
ACUAGGGCGGUGGAAAGGGGUUUUCUUUUUUCCUCUGGUUUGAACCGAGAGAGAGAGAGAUUUCUUUUUUUUUUUCCUUCUCGGUUUGGAAGAAGUAGCCGGGAGAUGGAUCGGGGCUUUGGCAGCAGGGGCAAAACCCGCCAAAGCUCUGAUACCAAGAUGAUGUAGCACCAGUGCGGGGAAAGAGAAGGAGAAGGAAGAAGAGGUUGUAGAGACGCAGGAAGAAUAAAGGAGGAGAGGAAAAAAAGAGAAGAAAGAACGUAGGGGGAAAGAAAUUCCAAAUCACUUCAUUAAACCCUAAUCAUGAAAAUAGUUCCCUAUAUAUAGGGCCCAAAUACACAACUUGCAUAAAUCCCCCUUACACAGAAAUAAAUCCUAAUAAACCCACAAAUAACAUAAAUAAGCCCUAAAAUGCAAAUAAGCCCAGAAAUAACAUAAACUACAAAUAAACCCUAGAAUGCAAACAAGCCCAGAAAUAAAAUAAUAAAAUAAAUAUGCAAAUAAACGAGUCUGACUCAAUCCGGGGGCUCAGGAUCAUCUGGAUGAAGGGCUCUGAUGUCCCCAUCACGUAGGAGCACCUAGGAAGUAGCAACUCCGAUUUAAGUUUUAAUUUUAAAUUAGAUAAAAAAUUUUUUUGGUGUUGCUGUUGAGGUAAUUUGAUGUUUUAACUAGCAAUAGAUGGGUG